UGGAGGUCUGAGAAGGUUGAGCAGCUUGUGUGGUGCUGCUUCAAACUGGUUACAACCUCCAACAUUAACAGACAAACACAACAUCAAUAAGCUCCACUCACGUGUGCUGAGCUUCACCGUGUGUUUGUCAACACCUU